AGUGCGGACCCCUCCAGGCUAGCUGGAGGGUUCCUGGUAUGGUCUAGGCCAGGCUAGAAUGGUUAGUGCAGGGUCGCACAAAUAGUGGAUUCGCGUCUAGAAAAAGCUCUGGCUUCGGUGUUUCUAGGUUCAGAUUUUGUCUUUAAAAAAAGGGAAAGAAAAAAAUGACUGACAGGAUGAUGAGCAAACAAGAUACAGGCCCACAGCCCUUGGGCAAGCAGCCAUAUCCUCAAAAUAUUUGUUCUAAGCACCCAGGCCUUCCAUGAAGGUCACACAGUCAGGACCAAUGGUUUUACCAUCAGCACAUUCCCUAGCCCCAGUAUCCGAGUUGAGAUGCGAUUUAUUUGUGGAUUUGUAGACUGCCUGUUGCGCAUUUACCUGAGAGCCUAAAAGAAUGUCUAGUGUCUUGUGAGCUGUCGUCAUGGAAAUCAAAAAAAACAAUUAAAAAGAAUGUCCAGUGUCCUGAGGCCUUAGCGAAUCAAUCUCAAUACCGGUUGACUGGAUUCCACCCUGUAGGACAAUGUUUGUUAGAGUAGCAGUUUGAACCUGAAAAAUCAUAGUCUACCUUUUCAACCUCCUUCCAGAGAACCAGGCAAAACAAGUUUCAUUUGCUUUCGGCAAAUCUCACUUUUUUUUCGUUACUUCUUCCUACUUUAACGUGGAAACAACUCUAAGAAGACCAUAGGAAAAAAAUGAAAACCUAAACUUUCCUGAAAUGGAUGGGGAAAAAAAAAAGAGGUAGCUCUCUCCCGUUGCCGGUAUUUAGAAAUCUUGCUCCUUUUGGCAGGGGACCUGGGGAAAAUGAAAGGAACACCAGAUGCUUAGUUUUACCGGAUUUUUUUUUAGAGGAGGGGCUUAGGGGUGAGGGAAACAACUCUUCAGUUCUUUUGAGCCUCUGCCCCUGGGUUAGCAUCAGAAAAUGUUACAUACAUGUAGAGCCUAGGAAAUAGUCUGGCCGCUUUUUAAAAUGACACAGUUGUUGAUUGAUUUGGCUCAGUGUAGCAUCAGCCACUUAGGACAAAGCUAGGACUUGAUCCCAAGUCUCCUGACUUUUUAUAGAUCUUGAUUUCCUUGUAUGCAACCAGGCCACCCUCCUUGGCAGUAUACUUUGAACUCU
rnacentral:lncRNA from 10 species